GCAUUAGAGACACUGGGGUUACUGGUACAGCUGUAGUAGGUCCAAUAGACACACUGGGGUUACUGGUGCAGCUGUGGCAGGUGGAUUAGAGACACUGGGGUUACUGGUACAGCUGUAGUAGGUCCAAUAGAGACACUCGGGUUACUGAUACGGUUGUGGCAGGUGGAUUAGAGACACUGGGGUUACUGGUACAGCUGUAGUAGGUCCAAUAGAGACACUGGGGUUACUGGUACAGCUGUGGCAGGUGGAUUAGAGACACUGGGGUUACUGGUACAGCUGUAGUAGGUGGAUUAGAGACACUGGGACUAUUGGC